GAGGGGGCGCGGAAGCUUCUGCUGAGAAGAUGGGAAGGUGACGGGAAGGGGGGGGGGAAUAGAGAGGCGAAGGCGGCUCUGGCGCUUAACGAGCAGAAAGAAGAGUGAUGAAGUUGAUUCCUCUCUCUGGACUUCUGGCAAUCACAUGACAAACACUAGUGAUUGACUGGCUUCUUCCUUUCCCGGUAUCGUGGCUGGAUGACAGCGUGGUUUAACAUUUUUAUAUACACCAACCAAUAAUGGAGCACAAAGGCAGUCAGGAGGCCACAGACUGGGGAGUUGGUUGCCACCAGGAGCUGCAAAAGAGGUGAGAGGUUUGGGACAACAGGGGAUGGCAUCUAUGAGGGCUCUGCAAGCUUCAGACCUCCAGCCUCAGGCUAAGUAUCAAAAGGCUGGUCCAGCAUUCCAGCUGGUGGUACAAUAGCCUUGGACUCAGCAGGUUCCUUCUCCUCUUGCCUUAAGAUAAAUUCACAUGUGCUUUUUUGGAGUUUAUGAUCAUUUGGGCAGUGCAUCAAGAGACAUAGUGAUGGCCAUUACUUGAAAUGGAAAUGUAAAAGGUUUUAAAAUAUUCAUGGAGGAUUGGACCAUCAAUAAGUUCUUAACCAUGGUAUCUACAUUUAUAAAUAUUAAAUAAUAAUAACAACCAACAAA